GACGAACGCUGGCGGCGUGCCUAAUACAUGCAAGUCGAGCGCAGGAAACUGACGGAACUCUUCGGAGGGAAGGCAGCGGAAUGAGCGGCGGAUGGGUGAGUAACACGUAAGGAACCUGCCUCAAGGAUUGGGAUAACUCCGAGAAAUCGGAGCUAAUACCGGAUAGUUCAUCGGACCGCAUGGUCCGUUGAUGAAAGGCGCUCCGGCGUCACCUUGAGAUGGCCUUGCGGUGCAUUAGCUAGUUGGUGGGGUAACGGCCCACCAAGGCGACGAUGCAAAGCCGACCUGAGAGGGUGAUCGGCACCACUGGGUCUGAGACACGGCCCAGACGCCGACGGGAGGCAGCAGUAGGGAAGCUUCCACAAUGGACGAAAGUCUGAUGGAGCAACGCCGCGUGAGGGAUGAAGGUUUUCGGAACGUAAAACUCUGUUGUAAGGGAAGAACACGUACGAGAGGGAAUGCUCGUACCUUGACGGUACCUUACGAGAAAGCCACGGCUAACUACGUGCCAGCCGCCGCCGUAACAC
rnacentral:rRNA from 1 species